GGAUCCAGACUUUGAUCCUGGCUCAGGAUGAACGCUAGCUACAGGCUUAACACAUGCAAGUCGAGGGGCAGCAUGUCGGUUGCUUGCAACCGACGAUGGCGACCGGCGCACGGGUGAGUAACGCGUAUCCAACCUACCCUUGUCCAUCGGAUAACCCGUCGAAAGGCGGCCUAACACGAUAUGCGGUUCACCGCAGGCAUCUAACGUGAACGAAAUGUGAAGGAGAAGGAUGGGGAUGCGUCUGAUUAGCUUGUUGGCGGGGUAACGGCCCACCAAGGCGACGAUCAGUAGGGGUUCUGAGAGGAAGGUCCCCCACAUUGGAACUGAGACACGGUCCAAACUCCUACGGGAGGCAGCAGUGAGGAAUAUUGGUCAAUGGACGAGAGUCUGAACCAGCCAAGUAGCGUGCAGGAUGACGGCCCUAUGGGUUGUAAACUGCUUUUAUAGGGGGAUAAAGUGUGCCACGUGUGGCAUAUUGCAGGUACCCUAUGAAUAAGGACCGGCUAAUUCCGUGCCAGCAGCCGCGGUAAUACGGAAGGUCCGGGCGUUAUCCGGAUUUAUUGGGUUUAAAGGGAGCGUAGGCCGUCUUAUAAGCGUGUUGUGAAAUGUCGGGGCUCAACCUGGGCAUUGCAGCGCGAACUGUGAGACUUGAGUGCGCAGGGAGUAGGCGGAAUUCGUCGUGUAGCGGUGAAAUGCUUAGAUAUGACGAAGAACUCCGAUUGCGAAGGCAGCCUGCUGUAGCGCAACUGACGCUGAAGCUCGAAAGCGUGGGUAUCGAACAGGAUUAGAUACCCUGGUAGUCCACGCGGUAAACGAUGGAUGCUCGCUGUUUGCGUCUGACGUAAGCGGCCAAGCGAAAGCGUUAAGCAUCCCACCUGGGGAGUACGCCGGCAACGGUGCAACUC
rnacentral:rRNA from 1 species